UACGGGGGGGGCAAGCGUUGUUCGGAAUUACUGGGCGUAAAGGGUUCGUAGGUGGCCUGCUAAGUCAGACGUGAAAUCCCUCAGCUCAACUGGGGAACUGCGUCUGAGACUGGUGGGCUUGAGUGCAGGAGAGGAACGCGGAAUUCCAGGUGUAGCGGUGAAAUGCGUAGAUAUCUGGAGGAACACCGGUGGCGAAGGCGGCGUUCUGGACUGUUACUGACACUGAGGAACGAAAGCCAGGGGAGCAAACGGG
rnacentral:rRNA from 1 species